rnacentral:tRNA from 1 species
GGCCUCAGAAGCUGAAGAAUAGCUGUUAA